GGCUGAUGAUGCUGAUCCUGAGAAGCAACAGCAAGGUGCAUGACUACAUUUGGUAUGAGGUGGCUGGUGUGCAUUCCUCUUUGAACAGAAAAGCCAGUCUAGGAAGAGUUGGCUGCUCACUGUUACAAUGAGUGUGAAGAGGACAACAUGUCACACAUGAUUUGGUACAGAGUGUGGAGAAGGGUGGUGUCCCUGUGAAAGCCAAGGCCUAGUGCUGUUAUUACAUGGUCCUGCCCGAGCUCCUCUAACCCCUUCCAGUGUACAAACUCCCAAUAUCUUCCGUGGUACCAGUAGACAAGAACAUCAGGUAAGGAGCUCUCCCCAGCUUCAGUAGAAUGAACUUUUACAGCCGAGGAGGAGAAGAGCUGAUCAAUCCAGCCUGCACCCCUUCAGUAGCUGCAGCACAUCAACCCAGCCUGGUCCCUUCAGUAGCUGCAGCUCAUCAACCCAGCCUGCACCCCUUCAGUAGCUGCAGCUGAUGAACCCAGCCUGGUCCCUUCAGUAGCUGCAGCUAGCAGCCAGGGGCUGUGCCCUCCACAAAGUAAACCAGCAGUGACUAGACCAGACAGAAAUCCUCAUCAAGUGCCUAAUGAAUGAAGACACCAUUAUCUGGAUUGAUGCUCCUCUUACUUUUUUGAAUGGAUUCAGACGGGAAGAGCAGUCAUCUGGCAGUCGGAGGGUUGCCGGUUCAGUUCCGCCCUGGUUUGUCCACACCUGCCCCCUGUUCAUAAGUGUGGAUUCAGAGGAGCAUGAAAAGGCUGGUUUGGCUGUUCUGGGCCUCGCUUCAUCCUCCACAAAGCAAACCAGCAGCGACUAGACCAGACAGAAAUCCUCAAGUGUAAUGGAAUGAAGACGCCAUUGUCUGGAUUGACAGUGAACGGUCUAACCCUAACCCAACUACAUUACGAAGACAACUGCUUAUUGAUGCACCUGGCUCUCAUCCCAUGAAUCCACCUGCAUGAACAAAGCUCAAGUGCUUUCAGUGUCUUGGACUCGCCCUGCACGAUAUGGUGAAUUUUAGGUAGGGUGAGCUGUAGACCUCCCUUGUGGUCCUCCAGGCUCACCUUCACCCCUGUGGAGAAAGGGGGUUGACAGGACACCCUUGGCAGUGCUUGAGCAUGAAGUUGAUCUAUGAAAGCCCACAGCCCACAGCCAAAAGUAAAAGCUGUCUUGAUGUGCUGGCUCCUUGAGGUUGACCUGCCUGUAGUGACUGGAGGAUGAGUGAGCGACACAGAACCCAGGGGAGUGCUCUUCCACAUCAGCAUUGCCAGGGAUGGUCAGGGUCUCUGAGGGACCGAUCACCUGUCAUCUCCCAGACCGUAGGCGCCACCUCCUUCCUCUGCUCCAGUAGGCGGGAGCUCCUAGGAUCAUCACUAGAGCUUCAUUUGGAGAUGAUGGUGAAAAGCAGCUUUUAAUAUCUCAAUUACUCGUGCAUGAGAAGUGUGACUGGAUCAAAGGCAGAGAAGAGCUUGAGUCUGAGGGUUUGUUCUGCUGAAGCUUUGGGGAGGGAGCUCCCAACUCUCCAGAGGUCACUGCUGAUGUUCCUGUUGAUUGGUUCCACUGUAGAUGCAAGGGCUUUGUACACCAGUGGGGGAUAAAGGAGCAUGGGUUUGACCAUGUGCUGAUGGCACCAGGCCUUUUCACAGGGGCACCAGCCUUCUCCACCUUGUACAUCUGGUCAUCUAUAGUCUCUUGUCCUCUUCACUCAUUGUGUCAGUGUGAACAGUCUUACCACCUCCUCUGGCUUCUGUUGAGCUGCGAUCUGCUCCGGCUGCUUUAAACCAAGU